rnacentral:rRNA from 1 species
AUGAACGCUGGCGGCGUGCCUAAUACAUGCAAGUCGAGCGAACAGACGAGGAGCUUGCUCCUCUGACGUUAGCGGCGGACGGGUGAGUAACACGUGGAUAACCUUCCUAUAAGACUGGGAUAACUUCGGGAAACCGGAGCUAAUACCGGAUAAUAUAUUGAACCGCAUGGUUCAAUAGUGAAAGACGGUUUUGCUGUCACUUAUAGAUGGAUCCGCGCCGCAUUAGCUAGUUGGUAAGGUAACGGCUUACCAAGGCAACGAUGCGUAGCCGACCUGAGAGGGUGAUCGGCCACACUGGAACUGAGACACGGUCCAGACUCCUACGGGAGGCAGCAGUAGGGAAUCUUCCGCAAUGGGCGAAAGCCUGACGGAGCAACGCCGCGUGAGUGAUGAAGGUCUUCGGAUCGUAAAACUCUGUUAUUAGGGAAGAACAAAUGUGUAAGUAACUAUGCACGUCUUGACGGUACCUAAUCAGAAAGCCACGGCUAACUACGUG